rnacentral:rRNA from 1 species
CCUACGGGAGGCAUCAGUGAGGAAUAUUGGUCAAUGGCCGGAAGGCUGAACCAGCAAAGCCGCGUGAAGGACGAAGGUGCCAAGCAUUGUAAACUUCUUUUGUCAAGGGACAAAAUCAGGCUCGAGAGCCUGACCGCGGGUACUUGAAGAAAAAGCAUCGGCUAACUCCGUGCCAGCAGCCGCGGUAAUACGGAGGAUGCGAGCGUUAUCCGGAUUUAUUGGGGUUAAAGGGUGCGUAGGCGGAAGGUUAAGUCAGCGGUAAAAGCCCGGGGCUAAACCCCGUCGAGCCGUUGAAACUGGCUGUCUUGAGAUGUCGAGAGGUAUGCGGAAUGCGCAGUGUAGCGGUGAAAUGCUUAGAUAUUGCGAAGAACUCCGAUUGCGAAGGCAGCAUACCGGCGGCGAUCUGACGCUGAGGCACGAAAGCGUGGGUAUCGAACAGGAUUAGAUACCCGGGUAGUC